rnacentral:lncRNA from 1 species
AUCUCCUUUGGAUGUAACUGAAAUCUCAUCUUGGAAAUCUUGGUCGUACAGGCAGUGGGCAGAAUGUAAAUAACCUACUUUGGAAAUCUGAGUUACCAGAGUCACACGGAAGAUGCCGAAUCACCCCACUGCAGACAGGCAGCCACCUGGUUCCACACUACAAAGACGCAGAGGACACCAGACCACCAGACCAUGGUACUGAGUCCCGCUGCUCCCGGCCCAGAGGAGAAAGAAUGCAUGGACCAGAUAAAAGGAGACUCCUGGCUCACUUGUCACUCUAUCUUUCGCUGUGAUUAGUUAACUGGCACCCUGAUUCAUGCUUCCAUCUGAAGAUGCUCUGCAGCAAUGAUUGACCAGAGUGUUGAGUGCCUCCCCAUAACAUGGUCUGGAAUAUUGGAUAACAGAGGAAGAGGAGCUGCUUGCUCCAGGAGCGUUUGCCAGAUAGAACUUUGCAAGAUAAUAACCAAAGAAAUGGGCUUGUUUGGUAAGUGCAAAUAUAAUAGGAUAGAGACUUCUAGAAAUCCAAGAUUGUCAUGUUGGAAAAGAC